ensembl:rRNA 5S_rRNA 5S ribosomal RNA
GUCUACGGCGAUACCACCCUGAACGCUCCCGAUCUCCUCUGAUCUCGGAAGCUAAGCAGGGUCGGGCCUGGUUAGUACUUGGAUGGGAGUCCAUAUGGAUAGUAUCUCCCACAGGUC